UACGAAGGGGGCUAGCGUUGCUCGGAAUUACUGGGCGUAAAGGGUGCGUAGGCGGUUGUUUAAGUUUGGUGUGAAAUCUCCCGGCUCAACUGGGAGGGUGCGCCGAAUACUGAAUGACUAGAGUGCGGGAGAGGAUAGUGGAAUUCCUGGUGUAGCGGUGAAAUGCGUAGAGAUCCGGAAGAACACCGGUGGCGAAGGCGGCCUGCUGGGCAGUAGCUGACACUGAGGCGCGACAGCGUGGGGAGCAAACAGG
rnacentral:rRNA from 1 species